AUUGAACGCUGGCGGCAGGCCUAACACAUGCAAGUCGAGCGGAUGAAGGGAGCUUGCUCCUGGAUUCAGCUGCGGACGGGUGAGUAAUGCCUAGGUAUCUGCCUGGUAGUGGGGGAUAACGUCCGGAAACGGGCGCUAAUACCGCAUACGUCCUGAGGGAGAAAGUGGGGGAUCUUCGGACCUCACGCUAUCAGAUGAGCCUAGGUCGGAUUAGCUAGUUGGUUGGGUAAAGGCCUACCAAGGCGACGAUCCGUAACUGGUCUGAGAGGAUGAUCAGUCACACUGGAACUGAGACACGGUCCAGACUCCUACGGGAGGCAGCAGUAGGGAAUAUUGGACAAUGGGCGAAAGCCUGAUCCAGCCAUGCCGCGUGUGUGAAGAAGGUCUUCGGAUUGUAAAGCACUUUAAGUUGGGAGGAAGGGCAGUAAGUUAAUACCUUGCUGUUUUGACGUUACCAACAGAAUAAGCACCGGCUAACUUCGUG
rnacentral:rRNA from 1 species